AAAAUUAACAUAUACGGUUUACCGGUUAUAUUAAAUACAAAAAUAUUAUGUGAAUUGAUAUGAAUCCAAUUAUAUCAAAUAGUAGUUCUGACCCAUCAACAGAAGUAGAAGUAAUUGGACUGAAUGAUCAAACACUAUAACAGAAAAGACUAGAAUAAUGAAACAAGCAGCAUGGAUGAAAGACUAUAAAAUAAUUUAGUAGGAUGCAUUAUAGAAGAAUAAUUUUAUUAGCGACAAUAAAAUUAAUUAUAACAAUUUAGUGGAGGGUUGAUUUAAAAGAGAGGUUUACCAACUGAUACUUUUGUGGAGAGAUUGUCAGCAUGACUGAGGAAACUCGUCUAAAUCAGUUAGAGGAACUCACCCUCUCUAACAAGCAUGAGGUUGCAACAUUGAGUCGAGGACUUGAAAAGACUAAUGAACGAAUUGCGGAAAUUUAAUCGCAACUUACAACCAUGGAUUCCUUGCUAUGAUCCAUCGAGAAGCUUCUCUACGAUUAUUUGAAACUAAAAGCUAAGUCCGAUGAACCGCUGAACAACAAUGAUGGCACAAUGGAAAGAUUAGGCUCGGUUAGCUUGUAUGGGGAACCACAUUGGCCUCGCAAAUUGAAAGUGGUCGAUCUGCCAAUGUUUGACGGCGAAGGGGUCGAGGACUGGAUCUUUCGAGCAAGACAGUAUCUAGAAACCUUUGACAUUUUGGUGGAGCAAUGGAUUUGGGUUCUGUCUUUUCAUUUAAUCAAUGCGGCUUAUGCAUGGUUAAUAAACCCAUAUUUUAUGAUGUAUUUUGUGCCCAA